UUUUAAUUAGCAGUUGACGAAUUCAAUUCAUCCUGUGUGAACGUUUUACUUUUUGCUGUAAAAACUGCAUACUGCAUAGCUGUAUUAGAUCAUGUUCUUGAAAUGAUCGGUGAAGUUUUAUGUUCUAUUUUUCACAUAAUACAGUAUUAGAUACACAGUGUAAUGAUCACUUUCUAAAUUCGUGUGUCGCUACUUGUUUCUUUUAUACAGUUUGAAUAUGUUUACACAGUGGUAUAAUAUUCUGUUAACAAUAUUUAUUAAUCUUAUUGUGUUGACAAAUAGCGCAUUUAUACCAGAUAUUGAUCAGCAAGGGCUGUAUAGUAAAUCGGACCACGUAACCAUACUUACCAUUGCCAAUUUUGACAAAAAUAUUUAUGGCCAAGAUCAUGCAUAUUUAGUGCAAUUUUAUAACAGUUAUUGUGGACAUUGUCGAGCAUUUGCGCCGAAAUUUAAAGCACUUGCUUCUGAAAUUGCACCUUGGAAAAAUGUAGUAAAACUUGGAGUAAUUGAUUGCUCAGUAGAAGAAAAUAAUGAAAUAUGCCGUCAAUUUGAAGUAAUGGCUUACCCUUCUCUUAGGUUCUUACAUGAGAAUUAUUUAAAAGGCAAUGCUUUUAUAGGGGACAAAUUUCCAUCAGCAGACACAGCAGAAAAGCUAAAGAUAAACUUAAUAACAGUGCUGCAAAAUGAACAAUCUCAAGGAAGGCUUCAUAGUGCUCCAUCAUUAAAUAUAAGUUCAUAUGUAUCUUAUCUUGAUGCAAUCAAUAGUGGUCCUAAAGAUACACAAUAUACAUUUUUUGUAUUUGAAGAUGAAAAUUCCACAGUAGGGUCUCAGUUAAUCCUAGACUUAAAUGAUUAUGAACAUGUGAGAGUUGUGAGAGUGUUGGAUAAUAGUGAUUUAGCAGGUGUGGCUAAGAUUACAAGCAUCCCAGCUCUUGUAGCAGUUAAUUCUGAAAUAAUGCCUUCAAACCUCACACCACAUCAACCUACAAAACAGAAUAUGUUGAAAGCAAUAAAUACAUACCUCAAAUCAAAUAAUUUUAAUUUCCCUAUAAGAGACAGUGAUAAUGAAGGUGAAAGUAAUAGUUUUGUGACAUAUACAAAAUUAACACCUGAUAUGGACAUAGUCUAUUAUACAGAUUUAGAAAAAACUUUGAAAACAAGUUUAUAUACCGAAAUCACAAGAUAUAAGGUAGUCAAUGGAGACAUAUUGCAGGCUUUACUGUCCUAUUUAGAUGUGUUAAUUGUUUCAUUUCCAGCAAAAUAUAAUUUAAAAGAAUACCUCACUGAUUUGCACUCUACUUUGUCUUCUAAGAAUGAAUGGAGUGGAAAUGACAUUCAUAAAAUGGUCAAAGGCUUAGCCUCGCUGCAUAGCCCCAUUUUCUCAGAUGAACUAGACUAUAUUGGAUGUAGAGGUAGUCAACCACAGUAUCGUGGAUAUACAUGUGGGCUUUGGACUUUGUUUCAUACUUUAACUGUGAAUGCUGCAAACAAAUCAGGAGUGCAAGGACCAAAAGUUUUACAGGCUAUGCAUGGAUAUGUUAAGUACUUCUUUGGCUGUACUGAAUGUUCACAGCACUUCCAGGCAAUGGCAAUGAGAAACAGGUUAUUUGAUGUAAAAGAAAAUGACAAGGCUGUUUUAUGGUUAUGGAUUUCACAUAAUGAAGUUAAUUUGAGAUUAGCUGGUGAUGUUACAGAAGAUCCAAAAUAUCCUAAAAUUCAGUUUCCCAGUGUAGAGAGGUGUCCUCAGUGCAGACUUGCUCGUGGUGCUUGGAAUUUGGCUGCUGUAUAUGAGUAUCUAAGAAAAAUAUAUGAUGCCGAGAAUAUACAAGAUAUAAAGAGAGCUAAGUCAGCUGGUGUAGCUCAAAGCCCCUUCUCCAACUUGGAUAUUGGAAUGUUAAGCCUUAUGUACAUAUUAUCUUUUAUUAUUCUAAUUUUGCUAAUUAAAUAUGUGUUCUCUAAGAGAUUUUUCAGAAAGCGCCAUUAUAAACAUGCAUUGGGUAAAGUUUAAAUUUUAAAAUACAUGAGAAUAGAAAAAUUCCCUAUAUAAAUGAUUUUUUAGAAGAUUUUAUGCAUGGUUAUAUAAAUAUGACAAUUAAUAAUAUUACUCUAUUUUUAUAUCAUCUACAUUUUAAAUGUUAUGUAGGUGUAAAAAUAUUUAACAAGUACUUGCUGCUCAUAAAAAUAAUUGCUAGUAAAUAAAGUAAAAUAUAAAUAUCAUACUAAAUUUGGUAUUAUAGUCUUUAUAAUGUUAUUUGCUGAGUUUUAAAAAUAUGUAAUGGAUAAGAUUUACUUUAAUAACAUUUUAUAAUAUUUUUAGUACUUCGUCAUUUAUAGUGUCAAAAUAAAUGAAGUGGUGAUAGGAAUUACUCAAACUAUUUUUAAUGAAAUUUAAAUAAAUUACUUCUAAAAAUGAUAAAAUUAUAAUUAAAAAAAUCUUUUGGAUUAAUACUUUAUGCUUAUAAUAUAUAAUGUUGAUAUUAUGCAGAACAAUAACCUGUUUUUUUAAUUAUUUUAAAUAAACACCAAAUAAUGUACGUCUUUAAAAAGUUAGAUAUCUAGUAUUAUAUUUGAUUAUGAUAAACGGAAAGUAAAACGUGAAGCACCUAUUUAUGUGUAUCAUGGUCAUAAUGAUACAAAUAUAGUAUGUCAACAAUUCUUAAAUCCAUAAACUAUCUUGCAGGCAUUCAUUUCCAAAGGGAUUCUGUUUUUAAGACCAUGAUUAGCUUGAAAGAAUGCAAACCUAUCGUAAUUUGCAGACCAUUUAGCUUUGGUCUCGAAAGUAAAUUUGUUAACCAUUAUUAAAGAUAGUACUAUUAUACAUAAAAUUUUAUCAUAAGGUGGCCUAGUUUCCAUCAAUUAAACAAUUCCACCAUUCAAUAAUAUAUCAUUGUAUUUGUAGAAAUAAUUUACUUAAUUAUAAAUGAAUAUAUUUUCUACCACUUUAAAUAUAAAUGUAAUAUUCAGGAGUACAUAAUUACAAAUUAUUCGGUGACCCAGUUUCUAUUAAUUUAAUAAUUGCACCAGUCAAUAAUGUACAACUAUAUUCAUAGAUGUAAUUUCCAUAAUUUUGAAUGACUCGAUUUUAUGACAUUACUAAUUUAAAUGUAAUGUUUAGAAGUAUUUAGAAAUUUCUGUAAUAAUAUACCUUCAAUCUAAAUUGUUUUAGGUUUAAAGGUGACCUAGUUGCCAUGAAUUUAAUAAUUGCACCAGUCAAUAAUCUACAAUUAUGUUUAGUAAUUUCUACAAUUUUUAAUUACUAUAUUUUAUAACAUUACAAUUUUAAAUGUAAUGAUAAAAGUAAUUAAAAAUUUUGAUAAUAAUAUACCUACAUACCAUUUUAUUUUUAGGUGAACUAGUUUCCAAUUCAAUAAUUGCAUCAGUCAAUAAGUAUAAAUAUAGAUGUAAUUUACUUAAUGUUUAAUGACUUCAUUUUAUAACAUUACAUAAUAAAUGUAAUGUAUAGAAAUUUUGGUAAUAACAUGCCUGCAUUCCAAUUUAUUUUAAGUUUAAAGGUGACCCAGUUUCCAUAAAUUUAAUUAUUGCACCAGUCAAUAAUGUAUACUUAUAUUUAUCAAUGGUAAUUUACAUCAUUUUUAAUGACUCCAUCUUAUAACAUUACAAAUAUAAAUGUAAUGUAUAGAAUUAAUUAGAAAUUUUUGGUAAUAAUAUCCCAACAUUCCAAUUUAUUAUUAGGUUUGAAGGUGACCUAGUUUCCAUAAAUUUAAUUAUUGCAACAGUCAAUUAUGUAUAAUAUUUAUAUAUGUAAUUUACAUCAUUUUUGAUUACUCCAUUUUAUAACAUCACAAAAACAAAUGUAAUGUAUAGAAGCAAUUUGAAAUAAUAUAUAAUAUUAUAUUUUAUUAUUGGGUCGAAAGGUGGUCUUGUUUCCAUUAAUUUUAGAAUUGUUCCAGUCAGUAUUUAAUUAUGGAAAUAAAUUGAAUACUUUAUUUAAUUUUUAUUGAAUCCAUUUUACAAAACUGAAUAUAAAUGUACUGUGUAGGAAUUUUAUUUUUAUGUUAGUUUCAUAUCUGUGAUCAGUCCCUUGGGCUAUGCACUCAAGGUAUUACACCUUCCUAACCUUUAAAGGAAUUGAAAGAUAAUAUUUGAGGAAAAUUAGUGAUAUUUCAUCACAAUAAGUUUUUACCACUAAUUAAUUAGUCAAUAAGCCAGAGGUAAUAGUCAUAAAAAUAACCCAAUCGAAUUUAAAUUACUUAGUGAUGUUUUAGGUUGUUUUUAAUUAUUAAUAUAUCAAUUUAUUUAAUUUAAGCUGUUUGCUACAUCACGUCUGGAGAGAGAAUUUCCAAAUUUAGAAUAAGGUAUAUGGCCGGUUGACUAUGGCUCUUACGAAGUGAUGUAUGAACAACGAUUAUUGGGGACACAAUUUUUCUCAAGUCAAUAAUCUCUUAUCUUUAAGCUUUCCCAGUGUCAAAUUUUGUCUCUAAGAGUAAUAAAAUAUAUAAAUAAUCUUAUAAUUUCUUCAACGAAUUUCGUCUUCGGUUGAAUAGUUACAACAUAAGUAGUUCAAUAUUACCACUGUAAGAUGUAAAUAAAUAAAUUGCUGUGG